GUAACGCGUAGGAACGUGUCUAGAGGUGGGGGACAACCCUGGGAAACUGGGGCUAAUACCGCAUAUGGGCUGAGGCCCAAAGCCGUGAGGCGCCUUUGGAGCGGCCUGCGUCCGAUUAGCUAGUUGGUGGGGUAAAGGCCUACCAAGGCUCCGAUCGGUAGCUGGUCUGAGAGGACGAUCAGCCACACUGGGACUGAGACACGGCCCAGACUCCUGCGGGAGGCAGCAGUGGGGAAUAUUGGACAAUGGGCGCAAGCCUGAUCCAGCAAUGCCGCGUGGGUGAAGAAGGUCUUCGGAUCGUAAAGCCCUUUCGACAGGGACGAUGAUGACGGUACCUGUAGAAGAAGCCCCGGCUAACUUCGUGCCAGCAGCCGCGGUAAUACGAAGGGGGCUAGCGUUGCUCGGAAUUACUGGGCGUAAAGGGCGCGUAGGCGGCUUAGUCAGUCAGGCGUGAAAUUCCUGGGCUUAACCUGGGGGCUGCGUUUGAGACGGCUAGGCUAGAGGAUAGGAGAGGGUCGUGGAAUUCCCAGUGUAGAGGUGAAAUUCGUAGAUAUUGGGAAGAACACCGGUGGCGAAGGCGGCGACCUGGCCUAUUACUGACGCUGAGGCG
rnacentral:rRNA from 1 species